UUUUUUGUGGUUGACCUCGGAUCAGGUAGGAAUACCCGCUGAACUUAAGCAUAU
rnacentral:rRNA from 1 species